rnacentral:rRNA from 1 species
UACAGAGGUCCCAAGCGUUGUUCGGAUUCACUGGGCGUAAAGGGUGCGUAGGCGGUCGGGUAAGUCUGACGUGAAAUCUUCAAGCUCAACUUGGAAACUGCGUCGGAUACUAUUCGGCUAGAGGAAUGGAGGGGAGACUGGAAUACUUGGUGUAGCAGUGAAAUGCGUAGAUAUCAAGUGGAACACCAGUGGCGAAGGCGAGUCUCUGGACAUUUCCUGACGCUGAGGCACGAAAGCCAGGGGAGCAAACAGG